UAGUGACAGAGUGAGAGAGAGGGUGACUAGUGACAGAGUGAGGGAUGGGGUGACUAGGGACAGUCACCCCCUCUCUCACUCUGUCACUAGUCACCCCCUCUCUCGCUCUGUCAUUAG